GAUGUGGGAAGGCCCAGACAGCCAGGAUGUUGGCUUAGAAGCAGCCAUCAUUUAAAGAAAGCGUAAUAGCUCACUGGUCGAGUCGGCCUGCGCGGAAGAUGUAACGGGGCUAAACCAUGCACCGAAGCUGCGGCAGCGACGCUGAUGCGUUGUUGGGUAGGGGAGCGUUCUGUAAGCCUGUGAAGGUGUGCUGUGAGGUAUGCUGGAGGUAUCAGAAGUGCGAAUGCUGACAUAAGUAACGAUAAAGCGGGUGAAAAGCCCGCUCGCCGGAAGACCAAGGGUUCCUGUCCAACGUUAAUCGGGGCAGGGUGAGUCGACCCCUAAGGCGAGGCCGAAAGGCGUAGUCGAUGGGAAACAGGUUAAUAUUCCUGUACUUGGUGUUACUGCGAAGGGGGGACGGAGAAGGCUAUGUUGGCCGGGCGACGGUUGUCCCGGUUUAAGCGUGUAGGCUGGUUUUCCAGGCAAAUCCGGAAAACUAAGGCUGAGGCGUGAUGACGAGGCACUACGGUGCUGAAGCAACAAAUGCCCUGCUUCCAGGAAAAGCCUCUAAGCAUCAGGUAACAUCAAAUCGUACCCCAAACCGACACAGGUGGUCAGGUAGAGAAUACCAAGGCGCUUGAGAGAACUCGGGUGAAGGAACUAGGCAAAAUGGUGCCGUAACUUCGGGAGAAGGCACGCUGAUAUGUAGGUGAAGUCCCUCGCGGAUGGAGCUGAAAUCAGUCGAAGAUACCAGCUGGCUGCAACUGUUUAUUAAAAACACAGCACUGUGCAAACACGAAAGUGGACGUAUACGGUGUGACGCCUGCCCGGUGCCGGAAGGUUAAUUGAUGGGGUCAGCGCAAGCGAAGCUCUUGAUCGAAGCCCCGGUAAACGGCGGCCGUAACUAUAACGGUCCUAAGGUAGCGAAAUUCCUUGUCGGGUAAGUUCCGACCUGCACGAAUGGCGUAAUGAUGGCCAGGCUGUCUCCACCCGAGACUCAGUGAAAUUGAACUCGCUGUGAAGAUGCAGUGUACCCGCGGCAAGACGGAAAGACCCCGUGAACCUUUACUAUAGCUUGACACUGAACAUUGAGCCUUGAUGUGUAGGAUAGGUGGGAGGCUUUGAAGUGUGGACGCCAGUCUGCAUGGAGCCGACCUUGAAAUACCACCCUUUAAUGUUUGAUGUUCUAACGUUGACCCGUAAUCCGGGUUGCGGACAGUGUCUGGUGGGUAGUUUGACUGGGGCGGUCUCCUCCUAAAGAGUAACGGAGGAGCACGAAGGUUGGCUAAUCCUGGUCGGACAUCAGGAGGUUAGUGCAAUGGCAUAAGCCAGCUUGACUGCGAGCGUGACGGCGCGAGCAGGUGCGAAAGCAGGUCAUAGUGAUCCGGUGGUUCUGAAUGGAAGGGCCAUCGCUCAACGGAUAAAAGGUACUCCGGGGAUAACAGGCUGAUACCGCCCAAGAGUUCAUAUCGACGGCGGUGUUUGGCACCUCGAUGUCGGCUCAUCACAUCCUGGGGCUGAAGUAGGUCCCAAGGGUAUGGCUGUUCGCCAUUUAAAGUGGUACGCGAGCUGGGUUUAGAACGUCGUGAGACAGUUCGGUCCCUAUCUGCCGUGGGCGCUGGAGAACUGAGGGGGGCUGCUCCUAGUACGAGAGGACCGGAGUGGACGCAUCACUGGUGUUCGGGUUGUCAUGCCAAUGGCACUGCCCGGUAGCUAAAUGCGGAAGAGAUAAGUGCUGAAAGCAUCUAAGCACGAAACUUGCCCCGAGAUGAGUUCUCCCUGACUCCUUGAGAGUCCUGAAGGAACGUUGAAGACGACGACGUUGAUAGGCCGGGUGUGUAAGCGCAGCGAUGCGUUGAGCUAACCGGUACUAAUGAACCGUGAGGCUUAACCUUACAACGCCGAAGGUGUUU
rnacentral:rRNA from 1 species